rnacentral:rRNA from 1 species
AUAACGACUCUCGGCAACGGAUAUCUCGGCUCUCGCAUCGAUGAAGAACGUAGCGAAAUGCGAUACUUGGUGUGAAUUGCAGAAUCCCGUGAACCAUCGAGUCUUUGAACGCAGGUUGCGCCCUAAGCCUUCUGGCCGAGGGCACGUCUGCCUGGG